CCUACGGGUGGCAGCAGUGAGGAAUAUUGGUCAAUGGACGAGAGUCUGAACCAGCCAAGUCGCGUGAAGGAUGACUGCCCUAUGGGUUGUAAACUUCUUUUAUAAAGGAAUAAAACGCGGCACGUGUGCCUGUUUGCAUGUACUUUAUGAAUAAGGAUCGGCUAACUCCGUGCCAGCAGCCGCGGUAAUACGGAGGAUCCGAGGGUUAUCCGGAUUGAUUGGGUUUAAAGGGAACGUAGAUGGGGUGUUAAGUCAGUUGUGAAAGGUUGGGGCUCAACCGUAAAAUUGCAAGUGAUACUGGCAGUCUUGAGUACAGGUGAGGUAGGCGGAAUUCGUGGUGUAGCGGUGAAAUGCUUAGAUAUCACGAAGAACCCCGAUUGCGAAGGCAGCUUACUAACCUGUGACUGACGUUGAUGCUCGAAAGCGUGGGUAUCAAACAGGAUUAGAUACCCGAGUAGUC
rnacentral:rRNA from 1 species